rnacentral:rRNA from 13 species
CUCACCUGCCGAAUGAACUAGCGCUGAAAAUGGAUGGCGCUCAAGCGUACUACCAAUACCUCGCCGCUAGGGUAGAAACGAUGCCCUAGCGAGUAGGCAGGCGUGGAGGCCCGUGACGAAGCCUUGGGGGUGACCCCGGGUAGAACGGCCUCUAGUGCAGAUCUUGGUGGUAGUAGCAAAUACUCAAAUGAGAACUUUGAGGACUGAAGUGGGGAAAGGUUCCGUGUGAACAGCAGUUGGACACGGGUUAGUCGAUCCUAAGCCAUAGGGAAACUCCGUUUUAAAGUGCGCUCUCGGGCGCCGCCUGGCGAAAGGGAAACCGGUUAAUAUUCCGGUACCUCGAUGUGGAUUAUCCGCGGCAACGCAACUGAAGGUGGAGACGUCGGCGGGGGCCCCGGGAAGAGUUCUCUUUUCU